AGGGAGAAUUGGAGACAAAGUUUGGGGACUUUGUAAAAUUAAGAAUAUAAAGAUUAUGAGGAAAGGAAUGUAAAUACAGAUAGUAAAGAAUAUAGAGUAAUUCUUUGUCCUUGAGUAUUUGAUAGAACAUUAGUUGGAAACCACUGGAUCUGAGCUACUUUAGAUGGAGGGGUAUUCCAGGAAUAUUCUGUUAAAUGUUCAACAACUGGGUCUCUGAAAAGAAAAAGCCCUGAUUUGUAGUGUUUGCCAAUUUCUGUGAUGUAAAUAUUUCCAUCAUGGGACAUUUCAAGCUACCAAUGUGAUGUCACUGAACACAGAAGUGUUACAUACGAUCCACUCUCCAGAGCUCAGCAUAUCACCAGGAUGAUAUGCUUGGCAAGGUGAGACAGUGCUCUGAAAGACAGUGGAGAAAGAACAGGACUGAGGACAACUGCCUCCCACAGGCUUUGCUAGCUUGCUGCAGAGUCUUACUGGGAAAUAAGAGUCUCCACUCAGAAUUCUUGCGAAAUGAUCAUACAUGGAUACAGCAUAGAAUGUGCUAUGUUUAA
rnacentral:lncRNA from 1 species